rnacentral:rRNA from 1 species
UACGUAGGUGGCAAGCGUUGUCCGGAUUUAUUGGGUUUAAAGGGUGCGUAGGCGGCCUAUUAAGUCAGUUCUGAAAUAUCCCGGCUUAACCGGGAGGGUGGGAUUGAUACUGAUGGGCUUGAGUGGAGUCGAGGUAGGCGGAAUUGACGGUGUAGCGGUGAAAUGCUUAGAUAUCGUCAAGAACACCGAUAGUGUAGACAGCUUACUAGACUUCAACUGACGCUGAGGCACGAAAGUGUGGGGAUCAAACAGGAUUAGAAACC